UCAAAUGCCAUUCAUCUGCAACCUUUCUUGCUUUCCAUCCUCAGGAUAACAAUAUCAUUGCUAUAGGCAUGGAUGAUUUUUCAAUUUAGAUAUAUAAUGUCCGUGUAGAUGAGGUUAAAAGUAAACUCAAAGGCCACACUAAAAGAAUCACAGGUCUUGCUUUCUCUCAUGUAUUGAAUGUCCUAGUUUCUUCUGGGGCAGAUGCUCAGGUAAUAGUCGUUCUGUGUAGAUUUGCCUCCACAAUCUGUUGAUUAAUUUUGCCUCCAGAAUCUGUUAAUGCCUUGUUUGAUGGAUGUUUUAUCUAAGUUUGCAAGACAUUCCUUUCCUUGCAUUAUUAAUUUGUUUUAGUUAUAAUUUUGGAAAUACAGAACAUUUUAUAGGUACAAAUUUCAUGUAGAAUUGUUUAAUUUAUAAUCGUUAUUCAUUCUCUAUUGGAAGCAAGCAACUUGAUACUCUGCUUUGAAGUCCUUCAAAGUCCACAAUAGUUAUAUAUGUGCUGCAAGAGACUUAUGUGAAGAUAAUUGAGUGAAGAUAUUCCAAAUUGUUUCGGUAACAGCUUUUCAGGCUGCCUUGAGCUUCCAAUUCUAAGCUUUUGAGUUUCAUUGUUUUCACUCUAAAAUGUCUGUUGAAUUUAGAAGUUAAUUAUCAUUGACAAACAUUGGAUUGAAGUAAAUUAUCAUUCUGUAUUAUCUGUGUAUUGUGUUUCAUCAAAAAGAAAGUUUUGAUGAAAGCAACAAUGCACCAAUUAGAAUGCAGCAAGGAGUCUCCCAAUGACGAGGAUUGAAUACAGCAAGAAUGCAACAUUACAGCCUUCUAUAAGUAGUUGAAGCUCUGAAGAAG